rnacentral:rRNA from 1 species
CGGUAAUUCCAGCUCCUAUAGCGUAUACUAAUGUUGUUGCAGUUAAAAAGCUCGUAGUCGGAUUUCAGUAUUAGGCCCUUCUUCCAAUACGGUUGCUAGUGGUCGUUACUUCCUUAACAGAAUCUUUCAUCUCAUUAAUUUGGGGUGGUUGGGGCCUGUUUCUUUUACUUUGAGAAAAUUAGAGUGUUCAAAGCGGGUUUUCGCCUGGAUAUUACUCUUGGAAUAAUAAUAUAGGACUUUGGUUCUUUUUUGUUGGUGACUUAAAACCGAAGUAAUGAUUGAUAGGGACAGUUGGGGUCAUUCGUACUAUGAAGCGAGAGGUGAAAUUCAUGGACCUUUGUAUGACGAACUACUGGGAAAGCAUUUGACUAGGAUGUUCCCGUUGAUCAAGAACGAGAGUUGGGGGAUCGAAGACGAUCAGAUACCGUCGUAGUCUCAACCAUAAACUAUGCCAGCUAGGGAUUGGAGGAAGAUCAUUUUACGUCUCCUUCAGCACCUUAUGAGAAAUCAAAGCAUUUGGGUUCCGGGGGGAGUAUGGUCGCAAGGCUGAAACUUAAAGGAAUUGACGGGAGGGCACCACCAGGAGUGGAGCCUGCGGCUUAAUUUGAUUCAACACGGGAAAACUUACCAGGUCCGGACAUGGGAAGGAUUGACAGAUUGAAAGCUCUUUCUUGAUUCUAUGGGUGGUGGUGCAUGGCCGUUCUUAGUUGGUGGAGUGAUUUGUCUGGUUAAUUCCGUUAACGAACGAGACCUCAGCCUGCUAAAUAGUUGCAGUCUUCUUGAAGGCUUUGCUAACUUCUUAGAGGGACUAUUUGAGAAACAACCGAGCGGAAGCUUGAGGCAAUAACAGGUCUGUGAUGCCCUUAGAUGUUCUGGGCCGCACACGGGCUACACUGGUGUUUUCAACAAGCCUUACUACCUUAACCGAAAGGUUUGGGUAAUCUUUGAAAUAACACCGUGCUUGGGAUAGACUAUUGCAAUUUUUAGUCUUCAACGAGGAAUUCCUAGUAAGCGCAAGUCAUCAGCUUGCAUUGAUUACGUCCCUGCCCUUUGUACACACCGCCCGUCGCUCCUACCGAUUGGAUGAUUCGGUAAGCUCUUGGGAUUGAUUGACUCGUGCUCAUAGUUCGUUUUAUGACUAACUUGAUCAAACCUAAUCAUCUAGAGGAAGGAGAAGUCGUAACAAGGUAGCCG